rnacentral:misc_RNA from 1 species
AACCGAUGGUUUGGGCGCUUUUGGACGCGCUCGACCAUGAGGGGGUGCGCAUCCAAAGUUACCUGCCUCGCGCAUGUUUCGCACCCGUCGAUGCUGCCACGUCGAUCACCGGCCAGAGCCCCCGCCAUCUCGAUAGCUGGUUAAUGUCGCCCGAGCAAUGCCGGGCGUUAUUUUUGCGCUCCGCACGGCAUAGCGAUCUGGCAGUUUUCGAGGGGCGAUUCGACGAAGACGCGGGCGGUCCGGGGGGCAAACUCGAGCCGCUUUGCCAAUGGCUAGGUGUCCCGCGGCUGGCAGUUGUCGAUGUGUCGCGCCUGGCCGAUUGCAAUUUGCCCCCUCGGCCCGAGCGCGCGGCUGGGCUGCUGCUCGAUCAAGUUACCGAUGAACGCCACUUAUUCCGCUGGCAAACCGUGCUCGAACCGCUGUGGGGCAUUCCGGUUUUGGGUGGCCUCGGGUCGCUUUCGCAGAUUCGGGA